AACGCACUUGUUAAAGUAUUUUUAUAAAUUUAUCUCAUAAAAAUAUUAAAUUGAUACACGACAGUACUAUAAAAACGAAGCCUAUGAAAUAGAAUUUUAAUAACUAAAACAAUUUACGUUAAAGGAUAAUUUAAUGGUUCCUCAGUCAUUAAAAUGAACUGGUGCGCGAAGGAAUACUCAGCUGCAGUACUAUCUUUGAGUAGAUCUGCGUUUGACAGAUAUCUCGCGGGAAAUGCUGUUUGUAAUGCCUACUAAUCAUCUACUAUUCCAGUGAGAAUUGUUUACAGGGUCCUCAUUCUUUAUACGUAACGCAUCGCGUUGCAUUUAAGAUAAUAGAAAUGGGCACACAGAAUACUUGUCCACAAUAAUAUUACGAAGAUAAUGUAAUAUGGCCGUGUUACGAGUUUACACUUUCUUGGUGAAUAAGGCACCAGAGCAGUUUUUAGACAG